rnacentral:rRNA from 1 species
GACGAACGCUGGCGGCGUGCCUAAUACAUGCAAGUCGAGCGCAGGAAACUGACGGAACUCUUCGGAGGGAAGGCAGUGGAAUGAGCGGCGGACGGGUGAGUAACACGUAAGGAACCUGCCUCAAGGAUUGGGAUAACUCCGAGAAAUCGGAGCUAAUACCGGAUAGUUCAACGGACCGCAUGGUCCGCUGAUGAAAGGCGCUCCGGCGUCACCUUGAGAUGGCCUUGCGGUGCAUUAGCUAGUUGGUGGGGUAACGGCCCACCAAGGCGACGAUGAGUAGCCGAACUGAGAGGGUGAUCGGCCACACUGGGACUGAGACACGGCCCAGACUCCUACGGGAGGCAGCAGUAGGGAAUCUUCCACAAUGGACGAAAGUCUGAUGGAGCAACGCCGCGUGAGUGAUGAAGGUUUUCGGAUCGUAAAACUCUGUUGUAAGGGAAGAACACGUACGAGAGGAAAUGCUCGUACCUUGACGGUACCUUACGAGAAAGCCACGGCUAACUACGUGCCAGCCGCCGCAGUAAAAC